GAACCUGCGGAAGGAUCAUUUGCACAACGCUUGCAACUGCUAGUCCGCACGAUCUUGUGGGCUCGGACCGCUUUUGCGGCUGCAUAGCCAAUUCAGGGGCAGUGCGAUUGGUAGUCCUGGUCAGCCUGCUGUCACCUAUGCUCUGACUCUGUCGCUUGGAUUGCCCCUCUGCUUGUUGCAAGUCAGCACACAAACGAAAUCGUUCUGCAAGGAAUGUGUCAGUUCAAUUGUUGAUGAAGAAUGCAGCGAAAUGUGAUGCGCAUUGUGAAUUGCAGAAUUCCGUGAGCCAACAGAUGUUUGAACGCUUUUUGCACCUUUGGGAUAUGCUUGAAGGUGUGCUUGAUUCAAUGUCCUUUGCCUUCCCACGUUAGGUGUUGACUCAAUAACAGGGGAACUGUGUGCGCUGAUGCUGCUACGUGAAGCGCAUGUGAUUGCAACCGUUAGCAACGUUCAUGUGUUUGUUGUCAGUUCAAAGCAUCAUGUGUUUGGUUGCCAAGGGUUGGAAUUCGCAAUGCCUACGCAUACAUUUACCAUGAAGUGAAGCACAGUAAC
rnacentral:misc_RNA from 1 species